GUCCGCUAGUGUAGUGGUUAGCACACUUGGCUUACAACCGAGGGGCCAGGGUUCGAUCCCCUGGGUGGACA